AUUGAACGCUGGCGGCAUGCCUUACACAUGCGAGUCGAACGGUAACAGGUCUUCGGAUGCUGACGAGUGGCGAACGGGUGAGUAAUACAUCGGAACGUGCCCGAGAGUGGGGGAUAACGAAGCGAAAGCUUUGCUAAUACCGCAUACGAUCUCAGGAUGAAAGCAGGGGGCCGCAAGGCCUUGCGCUCACGGAGCGGCCGAUGGCAGAUUAGGUAGUAGGUGGGAUAAAAGCUUACCAAGCCGACGAUCUGUAGCUGGUCUGAGAGGACGACCAGCCACACUGGGACUGAGACACGGCCCAGACUCCUACGGGAGGCAGCAGUGGGGAAUUUUGGACAAUGGGCGCAAGCCUGAUCCAGCCAUGCCGCGUGCAGGAUGAAGGCCUUCGGGUUGUAAACUGCUUUUGUACGGAACGAAAAGACUCCUUCUAAUAAAGGGGGUCCAUGACGGUACCGUAAGAAUAAGCACCGGCUAACUACGUGCCAACAGCCGCGGUAACAC
rnacentral:rRNA from 1 species